CGGUGAAUACGUUCCCGGACCUUGUACACACCGCCCGUCAAGCCAUGGAAGCCGGGUGUACCUAAAGUCGAUAACCGCAAGGAGUCGCCUAGGGUAGAACCGAUAAUUGGGGCU
rnacentral:rRNA from 1 species